rnacentral:rRNA from 1 species
AUUGAACGCUGGCGGCAUGCCUUACACAUGCAAGUCGAACGGCAGCGGGGGAGAAGCUUGCUUUUCCUGCCGGCGAGUGGCGAACGGGUGAGUAAUACAUCGGAACGUGCCCUGUAGUGGGGGAUAACUAGUCGAAAGAUUAGCUAAUACCGCAUACGAUCUAUGGAUGAAAGCGGGGGAUCGCAAGACCUCGCGCGAUUGGAGCGGCCGAUAUCAGAUUAGGUAGUUGGUGGGGUAAAGGCCCACCGAGCCAACGAUCUGUAGCUGGUCUGAGAGGACGACCAGCCACACUGGAACUGAGACACGGUCCAGACUCCUACGGGAGGCAGCAGUGGGGAAUUUUGGACGAUGGGCGAAAGCCUGAUCCAGCCAUUCCGCGUGCAGGAUGAAGGCCCUCGGGUUGUAAACUGCUUUUGUACAGAACGAAAAGGUUUCUACCAAUACUAGGAGCUCAUGACGGUACUGUAAGAAUAAGCACCGGCUAACUACGUGCCAGCCGCCGCGGUAA